AGCCAAAACCAGGAGUUGGACACCCAACCAACUGUGCCACCCAGGUUCCCCUGAAAGUUCACCUUUUAAACCAGGGAUUUAAACAGGACUGUCUUUGAACUUAAGAUGAGGAUGGGGUGAAUGUUUGGCAAACCUUUCAGAACUCAGGCUUGAAGCAGUAGCCUGAUGCCUUGUGUUGGCCCCUCUGGCAUUUAAGGCUUUUCCCUCCCUGUAUGAAAAGAUUGGGUGUGGACCUUUCUCCUGCUAGAACUCCAGAGUCAAGAUCCGUUCUUUACAAGUAAUUUGGUCUCUUCGUGACCUUGGGAUGGUCACUCACCUUCUGUACUGUUAGAACUUCUCCUGGGAAGAUAUUACAAAUUCAUGUGCACAAGUGAGAACACAGGGUGGUAAGAGGCCAAUCUUUCAAACUGACCCAGGCUUUGCCCAGAUCAUCUGUGCUGAAGGUGUUCCAGCCAUAGAGGUCCUUCAGACAUCCCCAACCACCCACAGUAUGUGUGUGCUGUAGGGAGAGGGGUGCUUACAGACAUAUACACACCGUACCUCACAGGAAGGAAGAUGACAGGUAAGGGUGUGUAAAGUACACUCUGACUUUCCCUACUAAGGGUGUCUCUUUUCACUUAAAACUAUGCCAAGAAAGUUAACAGAUUGAUAGUCCAUGGCAGAGUGUGUUCUAAUAAUGCCUACUUAAAAAAAUUUUUUUUUAAAUUUGUAUUUAUUUUGAACGUGAGAGAACACA